GGCUGAGAACAAUGUUUGGAAGCUCCUUGGCCACACGGCCAACCUGCCCAGGCCCCUCUGUGAGCCUGGUGAGUGACCCGGACCUGCCUAACCAGUGUCUGUGGAAGCUGGCCAGCUUCCACAGACAGAAACCGAUGAUGUCACCCCUCCGGUGGCGCGAAGCUCUGGAUCAAGGCGUUUCCCUCAGGAGUCUCCGAGGGAAGGUUCCUCCUGUCCUCUCCUCUUCCUCACUCCCCUCAUCAAUGUCAUCCAGUGGUGCCAGUCACUGGAGUGAGGGCCUGCUCCCAGCGCACGAGGAUCCCAUCUGGAAAUCUUUAGAUCUGCAAAGACCUGGUUUCCAGGGAAGGUCACCUGCUGAGGUCCUACAGUACUGGGCAGAGGCCGCGGCCCAGAAGGCACAGGACCCAGAGUGCCCUGGCUGAAGAGUGGAGUCGCGGGCUUCCUGGGUGUGAGGUGCGGCAAGAGCUCUCGGUUAACCAGUGGGGUCACAGCUGGGGAAACUGAGGCAGCGAGCCAUUCAUCACCUGCCAGGUCACACACUGCUGCGUGCUGGAGGACACCGGGAGCCAGCCAGGACAUGAGCCCGUGGAGUGUUCCUACCUGGGAUGGAAGCCUAACAAACCAGAGGCAGGAGGCGUUUCUGAAGGUCCCUGGCUAGCCCCUCGGAGGGAAGGAGGGGCCUUGGGAGAGGGGAUGACCCGAGCCAGGGCCCUGAGGCUGCGGGCCCCUCCCCCCUCUCUGUCCCUCUGCCGGAGAACCUUCUCCCCUGCCAGCCUGGGCUUCUUUGCACCUGGACAAACCCUUGGGCCCAGGUGGGUUGGUUUCAGGUAGAGAGAUCCUCAGGAAGGACCUGGAUUGGUCUGUUUUGUCACAUGCCCAGCUUCAGCCCGCCACACUGCAAGGGGUUGGCUCUCUAAUUGGUCCAGCUGGGGGGGUGGUGUCCAAUCCCUCCAGGGAGGAGGGCGGGCUCAAGUGAGGAGCUGGUAACUCCCCCUGGGACCCCAGAGGGGGCAGCAGUGGUUCCCAGAAGAAGAAGCCCGCACAGGGCUGGGUGGACAGAUCUGGCUGCCACCCCAGGGCUUUGAGCAGGAAGCUCCGCCCUGACGCACUGUGGCCUGGGCCAGUGGGGGGCGGGGAGUGUGCCCGGACCUCUUGUGCACACCAAGGAAGAGGAGGGCCACGGAGCUGCACCCGCAGGGGAGAGGGAGGAUCCGAGAGGUCCACCUGGCUCUGCUUUCUCACCACUCCCCGGGCAUCCCCCCUCCCUUCCUGGCACUUGCUGCCCCAGGAAAAGUGCGAUGGCGGAAGGCUGAGGCCUGCCAACGGGAGUAGGCAGAGGUUCCCCACCCGGCAGAGCUCCUGGGGACCCACGGAGGAGGGGGGACACGCACCUGACCUCAGAGGCAGGCCCAGGGCAGGUGCCGGAGGGGAGAGGCCCAGGGAGCCCAGGGUCAGCACUGCCACUGGCCUGUAGGAUGGCUUCCCCAGACCACGCUGGGCACGGGGCUUGGCAGGUGGCCAGGCUGGGUGCCAAGCUGCACUUACCACCUCUAUGCUCUCUUGCCCUGCUCCCUGGUGGCCCACGUAAAUGGUGGCCGGGGCUCCCAGGUAAAUGGGGGCUACCAGGCCCCAGAGGGGUGAGGAUCAUCAGGCGUUGCCCCUUCUGGUUUGUGAAGAUGGACGUCCCUGAAGACCUGACCGAGGACCAGCCCACCUGGUGCCUCACCCCGAAAUCCUGACUCAAGAGCUGAAGUUGUGUUUCCCGCCAGACUGGCAGAGUGGGGCUUAGGGACUGAAAUACCCGGCAGAAAACAGAAACCCUCCUUACACGACUACGGGCAUGGAGCGGGAUUCACGUCCAGCACGCUCACGUGACCUCCUGUUACUCCCACCUUCACCCCGGAGGUUGGAAGCCCUGUUCCUAUCGCACAGAUGAGAAAGAUUGCAGGAUCCAACUGGUUUUGCUGCCUCCCAGGACCACCCUUCCGUAAGUCCCCAGUAAGUAGCACUCUGCAAUCCUGGAUCUGUCUGCUUCUCUUUCUUUCAUCUCAUGGCACCUUGGGGCUGGGUUGCUCCUGAGCAGCUGCUAUGGACAGUGCUUCUGUGAACAAGGGUGUUGACAUGUGUCAUCAUUUCUCUUGGACACACACCUAGGAAUGCUCAAACGCUCUGUGGCCACCUUUCCCAGGAACCACCAAACUGUUUUCCAAACUGGCCGGGUGCAAAAGCUGGGCACGGUGGCCUGGAGGCUGAGACAGGAGGAUCCCAACUUCAAAGACAGCCUCAGCUACUUAGGGAGACUCUGUCUCAAAAUGAAAAAUAAAGAAUGACCGGGGAUGAA